rnacentral:siRNA from 1 species
UAAGGUUUCUCUGAAAAUCCCUA